GACGAACGCUGGCGGCGUGCCUAAUACAUGCAAGUCGAACGCAGUGGGGACGGGUGAGUAACACGUGGGUAACCUCCCAUCAGAGGGGAUAACACUUGGAAACAGGUGCUAAACCGCUACUGGUGGAUGGACCCGCGGUGCAUUAGCUAGUUGGUGAGGUAACGGCCCACCAAGUCCACGAUGCAUAGCCGGUCUGAGAGGGUGACCGGCCACACUGGAACUGAGACACGGCCCAGACUCCUACGGGAGGCAGCAGUAGGGAAUCUUCGGCAAUGGACGAAAGUCUGACCGAGCAACGCCGCGUGAGUGAAGAAGGUUUUCGGAUCGUAAAACUCUGUUGGUAGAGAAGCGGUAUCUAACCAGAAAGCCACGGCUAACUACGUGCCAGCCGCCGCGGUAAUAC
rnacentral:rRNA from 1 species